AGAGUUUGAUCAUGGCUCAGGAUAAACGCUGGCGGCGUGCCUAACACAUGCAAGUUGAGCGACGAACCAGGGCUUGCCCUGGGGCAAAGCAGCGAACGGGUGAGUAACACGUGGGUAACCUGCCCCGAUGACCGGGACAACCCGAGGAAACUCGGGCUAAUACCGGAUGUGCUCGCCGGACACCAGUCCGGCGCGUAAAGGAAGCUUCGGCCUCCGCUUCGGGAGGGGCCCGCGGCCCAUUAGCUAGUUGGUGAGGUAACGGCUCACCAAGGCCGCGAUGGGUAGCUGGUCUGAGAGGACGAUCAGCCACACUGGGACUGAGACACGGCCCAGACUCCUACGGGAGGCAGCAGUGGGGAAUCUUGCGCAAUGCGCGAAAGCGUGACGCAGCAACGCCGCGUGGGGGAAGAAGGCCUUCGGGUUGUAAACCCCUUUCAGGAGGGACGAAGGUUCGGCAGUGAAUAGCUGUCCGGACUGACGGUACCUCCACAAGAAGCCCCGGCUAACUACGUGCCAGCAGCCGCGGUAAUACGUAGGGGGCAAGCGUUGUCCGGAAUCAUUGGGCGUAAAGCGCGCGUAGGCGGCCCGGUAAGUCCGUUGUAAAAGUCAAAGGCUCAACCUUUGAAAGCCGAUGGAUACUGCCGGGCUCGAGUCCGGAAGAGGCGAGUAGAAUUCCUGGUGUAGCGGUGGAAUGCGCAGAUA
rnacentral:rRNA from 1 species